CUAACACAUGCAGUCGAACGAGCGACUGGAGGAAGUUUUCGGAUGGAAUCCGGUUGACUGAGUGGCGGACGGGUGAGUAACGCGUGGAUAACCUGCCUCACACUGGGGGAUAACAGUUAGAAAUGGCUGCUAAUACCGCAUAAGCGCACAGUACCGCAUGGUACGGUGUGAAAAACCCAGGUGGUGUGAGAUGGAUCCGCGUCUGAUUAGCCAGUUGGCGGGGUAACGGCCCACCAAAGCGACGAUCAGUAGCCGACCUGAGAGGGUGACCGGCCACAUUGGGACUGAGACACGGCCCAAACUCCUACGGGAGGCAGCAGUGGGGAAUAUUGCACAAUGGGCGGAAGCCUGAUGCAGCGACGCCGCGUGAGUGAAGAAGUAUCUCGGUAUGUAAAGCUCUAUCAGCAGGGAAGAAAAUGACGGUACCUGACUAAGAAGCCCCGGCUAACUACGUGCCAGCAGCCGCGGUAAUACGUAGGGGGCAAGCGUUAUCCGGAUUUACUGGGUGUAAAGGGAGCGUAGACGGCGACGCAAGUCUGGAGUGAAAGCCCGGGGCCCAACCCCGGGACUGCUUUGGAAACUGUGCUGCUGGAGUGCAGGAGAGGUAAGUGGAAUUCUUAGUGUAGCGGUGAAAUGCGUAGAUAUUAGGAGGAACACCAGUGGCGAAGGCGGCUUACUGGACUGUAACU
rnacentral:rRNA from 1 species